rnacentral:pre_miRNA from 1 species
UUUGGCACUUGUAGAAUUCACUGAAUAAGUGAUGAACAUCAGGGAUUCUGCAAUGCCUUAGA